CCUACGGGAGGCAGCAGUGAGGAAUUUUCGGCAAUGGACGAGAGUCUGAACGAGCCACGUAGCGUGAAGGAUGACUGCCCUAUGGGUUGUAAACUUCUUUUAUAAAGGAAUAAAACGAGGCACGUGUGCCUUUUUGCAUUUACUUUAUUAAUAAGGAUCGGCUAACUUCGUGACAGCAGCCGCGGUAAUACGGAGGAUCCGAGCGUUAUCCGGAUGUAUUGGGUUUAAAGGGAGCGUAGAUGGGUUGUGAAGUCCGUUGUGAAAGUUUGCGGCUCAACCGUAAAAUUGCAAUUGAUACCGGCAGUCUUGAGUACAGAUGAGGUAGGCGGAAUUCGUGGUGUAGCGGUGAAAUGCUUAGAUAUCACGAAGAACCCCGAUUGCGAAGGCAGCUAACUAAACUGUGACUGACAUUGAUGCUCGAAAGUGUGGGUAUCAAACAGGAUUAGAUACCCUUGUAGUC
rnacentral:rRNA from 1 species